AGGAGUCAGUCACUCUCAGGGU
rnacentral:miRNA from 12 species